rnacentral:rRNA from 1 species
UACACUCCUACGGGAGGCAGCAGUGGGGAAUAUUGGACAAUGGGCGCAAGCCUGAUCCAGCCAUGCCGCGUGAGUGAUGAAGGCCCUAGGGUUGUAAAGCUCUUUCACCGGUGAAGAUAAUGACGGUAACCGGAGAAGAAGCCCCGGCUAACUUCGUGCCAGCAGCCGCGGUAAUACGAAGGGGGCUAGCGUUGUUCGGAUUUACUGGGCGUAAAGCGCACGUAGGCGGACUAUUAAGUCAGGGGUGAAAUCCCGGGGCUCAACCCCGGAACUGCCUUUGAUACUGGUAGUCUUGAGUUCGAGAGAGGUGAGUGGAAUUCCGAGUGUAGAGGUGAAAUUCGUAGAUAUUCGGAGGAACACCAGUGGCGAAGGCGGCUCACUGGCUCGAUACUGACGCUGAGGUGCGAAAGCGUGGGGAGCAAACAGGAUUAGAUACCCCGGUAGUCC